AUUGAACGCUGGCGGCAGGCCUAACACAUGCAAGUCGAGCGAGCGGCGGACGGGUGAGUAAUGUCUGGGAAACUGCCUGAUGGCGGGGGAUAACUACUGGAAACGGUAGCUAAUACCGCAUACCAUCGGAUGUGCCCAGAUGGGGUUAGCUGGUAGGUGGGGUAACGGCUCACCUAGGCGACGACCCCUAGCUGGUCUGAGAGGCUGACCAGCCACAUUGGAACUGAGACACGGCCCAGACUCCUACGGGAGGCAGCAGUGGGGAAUAUUGCACAAUGGGCGCAAGCCUGAUGCAGCCAUGCCGCGUGUGUGAAGAAGGCCUUCGGGUUGUAAAGCACUUUCAGCGGGGAGGCGUUACCCGCAGAAGAAGCAACGGCUAACUCCGUGCCAGCAGCCGCGGUAAUUC
rnacentral:rRNA from 1 species